AAAUUGAAGAGUUUGAUCAUGGCUCAGAUUGAACGCUGGCGGCAGGCCUAACACAUGCAAGUCGAACGGUAACAGGAAGCAGCUUGCUGCUUUGCUGACGAGUGGCGGACGGGUGAGUAAUGUCUGGGAAACUGCCUGAUGGAGGGGGAUAACUACUGGAAACGGUGGCUAAUACCGCAUAACGUCGCAAGACCAAAGAGGGGGACCUUCGGGCCUCUUGCCAUCAGAUGUGCCCAGAUGGGAUUAGCUUGUUGGUGAGGUAACGGCUCACCAAGGCGACGAUCCCUAGCUGGUCUGAGAGGA
rnacentral:rRNA from 1 species